CCUAUUUUUAAUGAACCGUCAUUUCCAUUUAAGUUUCUCAGCCAUGGCUUUACAUGAGAUCUCACGACAUAUUGUAGUGGAAAAACUGCCUUGUGUGAUUUGGAUUUAUUUUACAAUUUAUGUUUUUGAUGGGAUUUAAGUAUGCCUCAAUACAUAAUGCUUUGGUGAAUAUGUCUUGGUACGCAUGGAAUAAGGAAAAUAUGAAAACAUAUCUUUUAAUAUGCACUCAAAGCUAUAAGCCAGUGCAGAGCAUAUAUGGGUUUAACAAUGUGUUAAAUCGUGAAGCUUUUCUGAUUUAUGUCAAGGCUUACUACGCAUUUUUUAUGUUUAUAUAUCAAACAAAUGUACUGGAGAAAUUUAAAAAAUAUGUCCAUUAGAAUCUUAAUAUUAUCCUACAUAUUUGGCUUGUUAUAUUCGGC